UACAGAGGUCUCAAGCGUUGUUCGGAUUCAUUGGGCGUAAAGGGUGCGUAGGCGGCGCGGUAAGUCCGCUGUGAAAGUCGGGGGCUCAACCCUCGAAUGCCGGUGGAUACUGUCGGGCUAGAGUACGGAAGAGGCGAGUGGAAUUCCUGGUGUAGCGGUGAAAUGCGCAGAUAUCAGGAGGAACACCAAUUGCGAAGGCAGCUCGCUGGGACGUCACUGACGCUGAGACGCGAAAGCGUGGGGAGCAAACAGG
rnacentral:rRNA from 1 species